AUUGAACGCUGGCGGCAUGCCUUACACAUGCAAGUCGAACGGUAACAGGUCUUCGGAUGCUGACGGGUGGCGAACGGGUGAGUAAUACAUCGGAACGUGCCUAGUAGUGGGGGAUAACUACUCGAAAGAGUGGCUAAUACCGCAUGAGAUCUACGGAUGAAAGCAGGGGAUCGCAAGACCUUGUGCUACGAGAGCGGCCGAUGGCAGAUUAGGGCGUUGGUGGGAUAAAAGCUUACCAAGCCGACGAUCUGUAGCUGGUCUGAGAGGACGAUCAGCCACACUGGGACUGAGACACGGCCCAGACUCCAACGGGAGGCAGCAGUGGGGAAUUUUGGACAAUGGGCGCAAGCCUGAUCCAGCAAUGCCGCGUGCAGGAUGAAGGCCUUCGGGUUGUAAACUGCUUUUGUACGGAACGAAAAGCCCUGGGUUAAUACCCUGGGGUCAUGACGGUACCGUAAGAAUAAGCACCGGCUAACUACGUGCCAGCAGCCGCCGUAACAC
rnacentral:rRNA from 1 species